rnacentral:rRNA from 1 species
AUUGAACGCUGGCGGCAUGCCUUACACAUGCAAGUCGAACGGCAGCGGACCUUCGGGUGCCGGCGAGUGGCGAACGGGUGAGUAAUAUAUCGGAACGUACCUUUCAGUGGGGGAUAACGUAGCGAAAGUUACGCUAAUACCGCAUAUUCUGUGAGCAGGAAAGCAGGGGAUCGCAAGACCUUGCGCUGAUUGAGCGGCCGAUAUCAGAUUAGCUAGUUGGUGAGGUAAAGGCUCACCAAGGCGACGAUCUGUAGCGGGUCUGAGAGGAUGAUCCGCCACACUGGAACUGAGACACGGUCCAGACUCCUACGGGAGGCAGCAGUGGGGAAUUUUGGACAAUGGGCGCAAGCCUGAUCCAGCCAUGCCGCGUGAGUGAAGAAGGCCUCGGUUGGUUAAGUACGUACUUUCGGUCCGGGUAACGGAAAGUAC